AGAGUUUGAUCCUGGCUCAGGAUGAACGCUAGUAGUAUCGCUUUACACAUGCAAGUCGAACGAGAAAUUUUCUCGUGGCGAACGGGUGAGUACAAACAAAAUUUUACCUUUCAGAUCAGAGCAAAGAUCCUUCGGGAAACAAAAUUCUGAAUAAUUAAAAAGGUUGUUUUAUUUAAAACAAAACAUUCCGCUGAGAGCUAAGUUUGUUAAAGAUUAGGUUGUUGGUAAUUUAAAAGCUUACCAAGCCUUCGAUCUUUAGUUGGUCUGAGAGGACGAUCAACCACACUGGAACUGAAACAAGGUCCAGGCUGACAUUGUCGGCCAGCAGUGAGGAAUAUUGGACAAUGAACGAAAGUUUGAUCCAGCAAUACUACAUGGGCAGAUGACGGCUUAUUUUUAGUUGUAACCCCCUAUCAUUAAAGGAGAUAAUGACAUUAUUUAACGAAGUUUAGUCCUGGCUAAUACUCGUGCCAGCAGCCGCGGUAAUACGGGAAGGGCAAGCGUUAUCCGGCAUGACUGGGCGUAAAGAGUCCGUAGACUGUAAAGUAAGUUUUUUGUUAAAUCUUAAAACCUAAUUUUAACAGAGCAACUAAUACUGCUUUACUUGAGUUUAAUGCAGAAAAGUAGAAUUUUAUACGUGUAGGGGUGAAAUCCGCAGAUAUAUAAAGGAAUGCCAACAGCGAAGGCAACCUUUUGGUAUAAACUGACGUUGAGGGACGAAAGUGUGGGUAGCAAACAGGAUUAGAUACCCUGGUAGUCCACACCGUAAAUUCUGAGUGCUGUAAUUUAAUUGUAAUGCCUCUUUAUUAAUAGCAUUAUUUAGAUUCUCAAGCUAACGCAAUAAGCACUCCGCCUGAAGAGUACGAUCGCAAGAUUGGAACUCAAAGGAAUUGACGGGGGCCUAACACUAGUGGUGGAGCAUGUGGUUUAAUGCGAUAAUCCGCGCAAAACCUUACCAAUUCUUGACAUAGAAAGCUAAAACAUCAAUUAAAGCAAGACAUGUUUUAACUUGUUAUGCUUUUUACAGGUGUUGCACGACUGUCGUCAGCUCGUGUCGUGAGAUGUUUGGUUAAGUCCUGAAACGAGCGCAACUCUUGCUUUUUAAUAUAUUUACGUACAAAAUCUUUAACAGUUCAAGUUUUAAAGGUUUUUAAGCUUUAAAAGUACGGUCAACGACAAGUUGAAGGAAGGUGAGAAUGAGGUCAAGUCAAUGUGACCCUAAUGAAUUGGGCUACACAUGUGCUACAAUGAAAAUUACAAAAAGUAACAAAAAAGAAAUUUUAAGUUAAUCUACAAAGAUUUUCCCAGUUCGGAUUGUAGACUGCAACUCGUCUACAUAAAGUUGGAAUCACUAGUAAUCGCAAAUCAGCACGUUGCGGUGAACACGUAAAUUGGUCUUGUACACACCGCCCGUCACUUGCGAAGAGUCAGUUUCGCUUGAAGGUUUUAGUAAAACCCAUUGAGAGAUUGGUGAUUUGGAUGAAGUCGUAACAAGGUA
rnacentral:rRNA from 1 species